rnacentral:rRNA from 1 species
GCACAAGCAGCGGAGCGUGUGGUUUAAUUCGUUGCUACACGAAGAACCUUACCUGGGUUUGACAUAUAGGUUGUAGGGAACUGAAAAGGGACCGACCCUUCGGGGAGCCUAUACAGGUGUUGCAUGGCUGUCGUCAGCUCGUGUCGUGAGAUGUUCGGUUAAGUCCGCUAACGAGCGCAACCCUCGUCGUAUGUUAUAUGUGUCAUACGAGACUGCCGGUAAAAAGCCGGAGGAAGGUGAGGAUGAUGUCAAGUCAGCAUGACCUUUAUAUCCAGGGCUACACACACGCUACAAUGGUCUGUACAAUGGGUAGCCAAGCCGCGAGGCGGAGCCAAUCCUGAAAGCAGGCCUCAGUUCAGAUUGCAGUCUGCAACUCGACUGCAUGAAGCCGGAGUUGCUAGUAACCGCAGGUCAGCCAUACUGCGUUGAAUACGUUCCCGGGGCUU